UUUCACCUUGAGAAUGAAGUGGAUACACCGCUCAGAGGGUUUACACCCACGGACCCUCGAGUCUGAGACGAUUCGUGCCUUUGAGGAGGAUUGGGUGCUGCGUCUACGUCUGAAAAGAGCUGGG